ACCUUGUCAAAGUGUAGAUUCUGAUUCAGAAGGUCUGGGGCUGGGCCUGAGAUUCUGCAUUUUUUACAAGCUC
rnacentral:miRNA from 1 species